rnacentral:SRP_RNA from 2 species
GCCGGGUGUAGUGGUGCACGCCUGUAGUCCCAGCUACUUGGGAGGCUGAGGCAGAAGAAUCGCUUGAACUCGGGAGGCAGAGGUUGCAGUGAGCCGUGAUGGCACCACUGCACUCCAGCCUGGGUGACAGAGCGAGACUCCGUCUCAA